UUGAGAUAGCACCCUUUGUCUAUGAGUACCUCUUGUUUCCUCGGCGGGCCCAGCCCGCCAACGGGGACCCACAAAACCCUUUGCAGUAGCAGUAAACCUCUGAUACAAACAAAAAUUAUUAAAACUUUCAACAACGGAUCUCUUGGUUCUGGCAUCGAUGAAGAACGCAGCGAAAUGCGAUAAGUAGUGUGAAUUGCAGAAUUUAGUGAAUCAUCGAAUCUUUGAACGCACAUUGCGCCCUUCGGUAUUCCGUAGGGCAUGCCUGUUCGAGCGUCAUUAGAAAAGGUCAAGCACUGCUUGUCGUUGGGUGUUUGUCCGCGUCCCCGCACGCAGACUCGCCUCAAAAUCAUUGGCAGCCGGUACAUUGGCUUCGUGCGCAGCACAGCGCGCCUCGUUGUCCAUGGAUCGUCUCUCCACAAGACACACUCUUAGUUUGACCUCGGAUCAGGUAGGGAUACCCGCUGAACUUAAGCAUAUCAAUAAGCGGAG
rnacentral:rRNA from 1 species